rnacentral:lncRNA from 1 species
CCCACUCGGAUGGAUACAAGGGCAGAAGAAAUAUGUUCUCCGCCACAUCUUUCCAAAGCACAGACAAAUCUUACUUACCUCCAGAUAAGUGGAAGGUAAUAUUUUGCAAAGUCUAUUGCACCAAAGGCCAUGAUACAGAUAAAUACUUUGAAGUGCUUAAAAUGGCUAGUAUGCGAUGCCAUCAAAAGCCUCCAUGCCUAGAGAAAAUGUGGAACAAGCAAGGAUGUUUAGUCUCAUAAAAUAUAAAGAUCACACACGCUACACGCUUCCAAGCACCUAAGGAACUCGCAC